rnacentral:tRNA from 1 species
GCGUCGGUGCUUCAGUGGUAGAAUACUCGCCUGCCACGCGGGUGACCCGGGUUCAAUUCCCGGCCGACGCA